CGCGUAGGCGGGGAGGUAAGUCGGGUGUGAAAUCCCUCGGCCCAACCGAGGAACUGCGCCCGAAACUGCUUCUCUUGAGUCCCGGAGAGGAAGAUGGAAUUCCCGGUGUAGCGGUGAAAUGUGUAGAGAUCGGGAGGAACACCGGUGGCGAAGGCGGUCUUCUGGACGGCGACUGACGCUGAGGCGCGAAAGCGUGGGGAGCAAACG
rnacentral:rRNA from 1 species